rnacentral:rRNA from 1 species
GACGAACCGUGCAAACGUUGUUCGGAAUCACUGGGCUUAAAGGGCGCGUAGGCGGCUUGCCAAGUCAGGGGUGAAAUCUUUCGGCUUAACCGGAAAAGUGCCUCUGAUACUGGCGAGCUAGAGGGAGGUAGGGGCAUGUGGAACUUCCGGUGGAGCGGUGAAAUGCGUUGAUAUCGGAAGGAACGCCGGUGGCGAAAGCGACGUGCUGGAUCUCUUCUGACGCUGAGGCACGAAAGCUAGGGGAGCGAACGGG